rnacentral:rRNA from 1 species
UGGGGAAUCUUCCGCAAUGGGCGAAAGCCUGACGGAGCGACGCCGCGUGGGGGACGAAGGCCUUCGGGUCGUAAACCCCUGUCAGAGGGAAAGAAGGGUACCGGCGUGAACAGCGCCGGUAUUUGACGGUACCCUCAGAGGAAGCCACGGCCAACUCCGUGCCAGCAGCCGCGGUAAUACGGAGGUGGCAAGCGUUGCUCGGAAUCACUGGGCGUAAAGGGCGCGUAGGCGGGGAGGUAAGUCGGGUGUGAAAUCCCUCGGCCCAACCGAGGAACUGCGCCCGAGACUGCUUCUCUUGAGUCCCGGAGAGGAAGAUGGAAUUCCCGGUGUAGCGGUGAAAUGUGUAGAGAUCGGGAGGAACACCGGUGGCGAAGGCGGUCUUCUGGACGGUGACUGACGCUGAGGCGCGAAAGCGUGGGGAGCAAACG